rnacentral:rRNA from 1 species
UACGUAGGGCGCAAGCGUUAUCCGGAAUUAUUGGGCGUAAAGAGCUCGUAGGCGGUUUGUCGCGUCUGCCGUGAAAGUCCGGGGCUCAACUCCGGAUCUGCGGUGGGUACGGGCAGACUAGAGUGAUGUAGGGGAGACUGGAAUUCCUGGUGUAGCGGUGAAAUGCGCAGAUAUCAGGAGGAACACCGAUGGCGAAGGCAGGUCUCUGGGCAUUAACUGACGCUGAGGAGCGAAAGCAUGGGGAGCGAACAGGAUUAGACUACC